UAUCACAACGCUUGGGAAGAAGUUCAUCUUGAUACUCAUCUCAUGAUCCCCACUUUCUUCCGAGAGGUGCAUGACAUUGAGUACCUCAACCACACAAACCUAGCUCUCAUCCAAAAGGAAAAAUUUGCAUGUACCCAAAAGAUUACCGACCUAUCAACUUGUGCAAUGUUUCAUAUAAGAUCAUCUCGAAAAUCCUAGCCAAUAGUCUCAAAGCCAUCCUUCCAAAAAUUGUGAGCAAUCGACAGAUCAUGUAUAAUAGUGUAAUUGCUCAUGAAUGACCAU
rnacentral:lncRNA from 1 species